UGGAUUUCUUAUUACACGCCACAGCCAGACAACGGAUGCACCACAAUGCCCACAGGGAACACUUCAGGUCUAUGAAGGCUUUUCUCUCCUGUAUGUACAAGGAAAUAAAAGAGCCCACGGUCAAGACUUGGUCCUUUACUGUUUUCUCUCCAAAUCUUUCUAGGGACGGCUGGCAGCUGCCUUCGUCGCUUUAGUACCAUGCCUUUCAUGUUCUGCAACAUCAAUAAUGUUUGCAACUUUGCUUCAAGAAAUGACUAUUCUUACUGGCUCUCUACCCCAGAGCCCAUGCCAAUGAGCAUGCAACCCCUAAAGGGCCAGAGCAUCCAGCCAUUCAUUAGUCGAUGUGCAGUAUGUGAAGCUCCAGCUGUGGUGAUCGCAGUUCACAGUCAGACGAUCCAGAUUCCCCAUUGUCCUCAGGGAUGGGAUUCUCUGUGGAUUGGUUAUUCCUUCAUGAUG
rnacentral:lncRNA from 1 species